rnacentral:lncRNA from 12 species
UAACGUCUGGACUGCUGCAAAGUUCUUUAAUAAUUUAAAAAAUUAUUCUUGUAGGUGCAUAUGGAAUCAUAGAAUAUACUGAGUUGGAAGGGACCUACAAGGAUCAUCAAGUUCAGCACCUAUUUCGGUGUCCAGCAAGAUAUAAAUGUGUGCCAUAGGCAGUUUGCCUGAGAGAAAGAAUGAAGAAGAUAGAAAGCAAAGCUUGGCAUCCACUAAUCCUAUGGACAGCAAC